rnacentral:lncRNA from 1 species
GGCAAGGAAUAUAGAACUUUGGCAUUUUUUUGGCAGAAAUUAUAAAAAACAAAAAAAAACAAUUUAUCAGUUAUUUUUUUAUUAUGCAUAAAAGCUUUUCAUGUAAUGAUAAACUAUUUCUUCAAAGCUGGAAGCUGGGAUUAUCAGGAGAUGGCUGAAGUGUAUCCCGCCUGAGUUUGACAAUAUGAUUUACUACUGCUACACCAUAUGGGAUUCAGAUUGUCAUCAAGGUAUAGUGCUGCAUGUGUGAUAUGUCCAUUCAUAGAAGACAACUGUCUACACUUCAUCCUUUAUCCACACCUGCAGCAUGUCUGUUCACUGUUAUGUCCCCAGAACACUGAGGUUGACCUGUUCUACACAGCACUUGAUCUCUUCUAAUUAUUAUUGCACAUAUGUAAUAUGCAAGCUCAAGACUAAACAUCACAUACUGCUAGAGAAAGGAUGUCUGUACCAGCAUGAUAUAUUUUACCCCAUAUGUACUGGUUCUGAAAAUAUAUACAUACAAAAUUUAUUUUUGGAUCCCCUUUGUAAAUAAAAGAAAUAAGAUAUUUAUUGUCUACAUUAUCGUUUCAUCCUAUAUUUUCUUCUGAAAUUGGGAACAAUCAAUUCCUAUUGUCAC